rnacentral:rRNA from 1 species
UACAGAGGGUGCUAGCGUUGUUCGGAAUCAUUGGGCGUAAAGGGCGUGUAGGCGGUUUGUUAAGUCAUGUGUGAAAUCCCUCGGCUCAACCGGGGAACGACGCAUGAAACUGGCAAGCUAGAGUACCAAAGAGGGGGGUGGAAUUCCCGGUGUAGCGGUGGAAUGCGUAGAGAUCGGGAAGAACAUCGGUGGCGAAGGCGGCUCUCUGGUACGUGACUGACGCUGAGACGCGAAAGCGUGGGAGCGAAGCAGGAUGAGAUA